UACGGGGGGGGCAAGCGUUGUUCGGAAUUACUGGGCGUAAAGGGCUCGUAGGCGGCCAACUAAGUCAUACGUGAAAUCCCUCGGCUUAACCGGGGAACUGCGUCUGAUACUGGAUGGCUUGAGUCCGGAAGAGGAGAGUGGAAUUCCUGGUGUAGCGGUGAAAUGCGCAGAUAUCAGGAAGAACACCCGUGGCGAAGGCGGCUCACUGGCCCGUAACUGACGCUGAGGUGCGAAAGCGUGGGGAGCAAACAGG
rnacentral:rRNA from 1 species